GGGCGGCUAGCUCAGUGGUCAGAGCAGACCCCUUAUAAGGGUCGGGCGAGGGUUCGAUUCCCUCGUCGCCUA
rnacentral:tRNA from 1 species